rnacentral:rRNA from 1 species
CCCGUCACAUCACGAAAGUGGAUUGUACUAGAAGUUCCGCACGCUGACCCGCAAGGGGAGCAGCGCCAAGGUAUGAUUCAUGAUUGGGGUG